rnacentral:rRNA from 1 species
AGUGAACGCUGGCGGUAGGCCUAACACAUGCAAGUCGAACGGCAGCACAGUAAGAGCUUGCUCUUACGGGUGGCGAGUGGCGGACGGGUGAGGAAUACAUCGGAAUCUACUUUUUCGUGGGGGAUAACGUAGGGAAACUUACGCUAAUACCGCAUACGACCUACGGGUGAAAGCAGGGGAUCUUCGGACCUUGCGCGAUUGAAUGAGCCGAUGUCGGAUUAGCUAGUUGGCGGGGUAAAGGCCCACCAAGGCGACGAUCCGUAGCUGGUCUGAGAGGAUGAUCAGCCACACUGGAACUGAGAAACGGUCCAGACUCCUAAGGGAGGCAGCAGUGGGGAAUAUUGGACAAUGGGCGCAAGCCUGAUCAAGCCAUACCGCGUGGGUGAAGAAGGCCUUCGGGUUGUAAAGCCCUUUUGUUGGGAAAGAAAAGCAGCAGGUUAAUACCCCGCUGUUCUGACGGUACCCAAAGAAUAAGCACCGGCUAACUUCGUG